rnacentral:siRNA from 1 species
ACUAUUCGUAGGAAAAUGCGAUGG